ACAACACUGCGCGUUUUAAGCUGAAGAGCGCGAGACACCGUGUCCGGUUCCUUCCAGCGUCUUUGGCGAGGAGGUGGUUAUGGAGGAGGUGGUUAUGGAUCGUAGCGUUCCCAGGUUCACAAGGAUUCAUCACAUGCUAGAAGCAGUCCUCCGAUUCCUCAUGUGUGGUUGUGGAGAGUCAGGGGAAGAUCAGGUUCAUCAUCCUGUGCAGGAAGCAGCAAGUGCCUUGGAAAUGCCUAUAAACCAGAGUUCUGUAAGACCCUGGUACUGAAGAAUGUUCUUCCUGAUGCAUCACCCUGCUACCCAACAAUGAACCACUGCAGAACAAGGACACUCGACGUUGUUAUCCAGGUUGCAGUGCAGACAUCGGAGUCCUCUUAUUACAUGUGGCUUCUGACUGUUCCACGCCUGCAAACUAAUCACUCGAGUUACUUCCAUCACCGACAAAACUGGAAGAAUCGGUGCUUCCAGGUGAAUCCUCAAAACUUGGGUAGAAAAAAUGGUGCUUUAUGGAUGUCCUUGUCCUCAGGGAAAUAUGUGGUUUCACUGGAAUGGCUUACUGGCUGACCCCUCUGCUUCUUUGUAAAUUAAGCGUUUUGUGGAAAAUGGCUCUUCUGAUUUAUUCUCAGAAAAUGUGAUGAGUAACGGUAAAGACAUCUUUAAUUUUACUUAAAAUCCCUGUAAAUAUAUUUAAUGGACGAAAAGCAUUUCUCAUGAGCUCCCAAAGUAAGAGAUCAUUAUUAUGAAAAAAUAAUGCCCAGUUCUCUUUACUGUUACCCUAUAGAGUAAUGGUAAAGACAACACUGGGUAACAGUAAGGACCUUUCAUGGCAUUUUUGGGUCACUGAGUACAGAAAAAAAAUAUGCAUUUAUUACCCCAUCCUAACUUGCUACUUGGCUAACUAAACUUUUAACAUGUAGUGUCAUCAUCAUUUGGGAGUAACCACAAAAUCAGUUAAUUUCCCUGACAUCUCAAUUUCAUAUUUACCUGAUCAAUAUCCUGGAUUCCAACAUUCAUGCACCAGUGUUUUUUAAACUGCUCUGUUGAAUUCUUUCUUAAAAUACAUGUAUAAUAGAGGGCCAGGAUUAUUGGCUUGUUUUUUUUGUGGGGGGGACUUCGUUUAAAACUCACAUUUUCUGAGGAUGGCCCAGAAAUGCAUUUUGCAUUUUUAUAUUACUAUUUUUACACUGCAUAUAAUUUUAUACUGCUUUUCUUAAUGUUGCUUGCAAACUUGUGCCUACAUAUGAAGGACAAUUUGACAUAAGAAAAUGGCCUUAUCAAAUUGCCUUAAUUCUUAGCACUUUGAGAAGUGUGCGCACAUCACUGUGUCCAAAAUCAUGACUGUCAGGUGG